rnacentral:lncRNA from 1 species
GCGGCUCUGAGGUAGGAGGAACAGCAGGUGGGGCAUCAGAUGAUGCUGCCUCUGGUACAGGCUCCGAGGGAGCUGAAGUGGAUGGAGCAGGAGGGACUUCCCUUGGCUCGGGAAGUUCUGGAGAAUGCUGAUGGAGCCAUACCUGAUUCCAUUGUUCAAGAGAGAAGCUCUCUCGACAAUGGCGGCGGGGCUCAGACUGAGGGUCUGCAGGA